UACGUAGGGCGCGAGCGUUGUCCGGAUUUAUUGGGCGUAAAGAGCUCGUAGGCGGCUUGUCACGUCGGGUGUGAAAGCCCGGGGCUUAACCCCGGGUCUGCAUUCGAUACGGGCAGACUAGAGGUAGGCAGGGGAGAGCGGAACUCCUGGUGUAGCGGUGGAAUGCGCAGAUAUCAGGAAGAACACCGGUGGCGAAGGCGGCUCUCUGGGCCUUACCUGACGCUGAGGAGCGAAAGCGUGGGUAGCGAACAGG
rnacentral:rRNA from 1 species